rnacentral:hammerhead_ribozyme from 1 species
GUGCUGUUGAAGAGUCCCAAACUAGGACGAAACAGUCGUCCAGUAC